rnacentral:rRNA from 1 species
GAUGAACGCUGGCGGCGUGCUUAACACAUGCAAGUCGAACGGAAAGGCCCAAGCUUGCUUGGGUACUCGAGUGGCGAACGGGUGAGUAACACGUGGGUGAUCUGCCCUGCACUUCGGGAUAAGCCUGGGAAACUGGGUCUAAUACCGGAUAGGACCACUUCUUGGAUGUUGUGGUGGAAAGUUUUUUCGGUGUGGGAUGAGCUCGCGGCCUAUCAGCUUGUUGGUGGGGUAAUGGCCUACCAAGGCGUCGACGGGUAGCCGGCCUGGGAGGGUGUACGGCCACCUUGGGACUGAGAGACGGCCCAGACGCGUACGGGAGGCAGCAGUGGGGAGUCUUGCACAAUGGGGGCCAGCCUGAUGCAGCGACGUUGGGUUGGUGAUGACGUGUUUCUGGUGGUAAACGCCGUUCGCUAUGGACAAAGCGUUUUGUGACGGUACCUGGAGAAAAAGCACCGGCUAACUACGUG